CUGCGGCGUGCUAUACAUGCAAGUGAACGUGAAGCUUUGUGCUUGCACCGAGCGGAUGAGUUGCGAACGGUGAGUAACGCGUAGGUAACAUGCCUCUUAGAGGGGGAUAACUAUUGGAAACGAUAGCUAAUACCGCAUAAAAGUCGAUAUCGCAUGAUAUUGAUUGAAAGGUGCAAAUGCAUCACUAAGAGAUGGACCUGCGUUGUAUUAGCUAGUUGUGAGGUAACGGCUCACCAAGGCGACGAUACAUACCGACCUGAGAGGUGAUCGGCCACACUGGGACUGAGACACGGCCCAGACUCCUACGGGAGGCAGCAGUAGGGAAUCUUCGGCAAUGGGGGCAACCCUGACCGAGCAACCCGCGUGAGUGAAGAAGGUCUUCGGAUCGUAAAGCUCUGUUGUAAGAGAAGAACGAGUGUGAGAGUGAAAGUUCAUCACUGUGACCGUAACUUACCCGAAAGGACGCUA
rnacentral:rRNA from 1 species